rnacentral:rRNA from 1 species
CUGGCGGCGUGCCUAACACAUGCAAGUCGAACGAGAAAGUGGAGCAAUCCAUGAGUAAAGUGGCGACCGGGUGAGUAACACGUGACUAACCUACCUCCGAGUGGGGAAUAACUCCGGGAAACCGGGGCUAAUACCGCAUAACAUCGCAAGAUCAAAGCAGCAAUGCGCUUGGAGAGGGGGUCGCGGCUGAUUAGCUUGUUGGCGGGGUAACGGCCCACCAAGGCGAAGAUCGGUAUCCGGCCUGAGAGGGCGCACGGACACACUGGAACUGAAAUACGGUCCAGACUCCUACGGGAGGCAGCAGUGGGGAAUUUUGCGCAAUGGGGGAAACCCUGACGCAGCAACGCCGCGUGGAGGAUGAAGCCCUUUGGGGCGUAAACUCCUUUCGACUCGGACGAUAAUGACGGUACGAGUGGAAGAAGCACCGGCUAACUCUGUGCCAGCAGCCGCGGUAAUACAGAGGGUGCGAGCGUUGUUCGGAAUUAUUGGGCGUAAAGGGCGCGUAGGCGGUGCGGUAAGUCACCUGUGAAAUCUCCUGGCUUAACUGGGAGCCUGCA